GAUGAACGCUGGCGGCGUGCCUAAUACAUGCAAGUCGAGCGAACAGACGAGGAGCUUGCUCCUCUGACGUUAGCGGCGGACGGGUGAGUAACACGUGGAUAACCUACCUAUAAGACUGGGAUAACUUCGGGAAACCGGAGCUAAUACCGGGUAAUAUAUUGAACCGCAUGAUUCAAUAGUGAAAGACGGUUUUGCUGUCACUUAUAGAUGGAUCCGCGCCGCAUUAGCUAGUUGGUAAGGUAACGGGUUACCAAGGCAACGAUGCGUAGCCGACCUGAGAGGGUGAUCGGCCACCCUGGAACUGAGACACGGUCCAGACUCCUACGGGAGGCAGCAGUAGGGAAUCUUCCGCAAUGGUCGAAAGCCUGACGGAGCAACGCCGCGUGAGUGAUGAAGGUCUUCGGAUCGUAAAACUCUGUUAUUAGGGAAGAACAAAUGUGUAAGUAACUAUGCACGUCUUGACGGUACCUAAUCAGAAAGCCACGGCUAACUACGCG
rnacentral:rRNA from 1 species